rnacentral:rRNA from 1 species
AACGCGAAGAACCUUACCAGCACUUGACAUCCAACUAACGAAGCAGAGAUGCAUAAGGUGCCCUUCGGGGAAAGUUGAGACAGGUGGUGCAUGGUUGUCGUCAGCUCGUGUCGUGAGAUGUUGGGUUAAGUCCCGCAACGAGCGCAACCCCUAUCCUAAGUAGCCAGCAGGUGAAGCUGGGCACUCUGAGGAGACUGCCGGGGAUAACCCGGAGGAAGGCGGGGAUGACGUCAAAUCAUCAUGCCCCUUAUGCUUAGGGCUACACACGUGCUACAAUGGGUGGUACAGAGGGCAGCAAAGUCGUGAGGCCAAGCUAAUCCCUUAAAGCCAUUCUCAGUUCGGAUUGUAGGCUGAAACUCGCCUACAUGAAGCUGGAGUUACUAGUAAUCGCAGAUCAGAAUGCUGCGGUGAAUGCGUUCCCGGGUCUUGUACACACGC